rnacentral:misc_RNA from 1 species
GAUGAAGAACGCAGCGAAAUGCGAUAAGUAUUGUGAAUUGCAGAAUUCAGUGAAUCAUCGAAUCUUUGAACGCACAUUGCGCCCCCUGGAAUUCCGGGGGGCAUGCCUGUUCGAGCGUCUCAGGGACGAACCCUCGCGCGGGUGUACGCGCGGUCGUGGCUGCGGUGGCGUGCCCGAGGCGGCGGCCACCGCGCUGGAAUCCAUGGGCGGACGCCUGCCGCGUGGCCGAGCGUGAUAUGACGCAUUGGCGCUCGCACGCGGAGAGGCUGCCAGCCCUGGCCCGUCUGUCGGGCGGGGGAGAGCAAGACACGUGAACUCCUCGAAUCAGGUAGGGAUACCCGCUGAACUUAAGCAUAUCAAUAAGCGGAGGA